rnacentral:rRNA from 1 species
ACUAACGGCUGGGCGGCGUGCCUAAUACAUUGCAAGUCGACGGGAUUCUUGAUCAGCUUGCUGAGAGAAGGAUCUAGUGGCGGACGGGUGAGUAACGCGUUGGGAAUCUGCCUCUUACUGGGGGAUAACAGGUGGGAAACUACUGCUAAUACCGCAUAAGAUCUUCGGAUGAAAGGUGCAACUGCACCGGUAAGAGAUGAGCCCGCGUCCCAUUAGCUAGUUGGUGAGGUAAAGGCUCACCAAGGCGACGAUGGGUAGCCGGCCUGAGAGGGUGAACGGCCACACUGGGACUGAGACACGGCCCAGACUCCUACGGGAGGCAGCAGUAGGGAAUCUUCCGCAAUGGGCGCAAGCCUGACGGAGCGACGCCGCGUGAGUGAUGAAGGCCUUCGGGUCGUAAAGCUCUGUUCUUGAGGACGAAUAAGCCAGGGAGUGGAAAGCCCUGGUGAUGACUGUACUCAAGGAGAAAGCUCCGGCUAACUACGUG